rnacentral:rRNA from 1 species
AUUGAACGCUGGCGGCAUGCCUUACACAUGCAAGUCGAACGGUAACAGGUCUUCGGAUGCUGACGAGUGGCGAACGGGUGAGUAAUACAUCGGAACGUGCCUAGUAGUGGGGAUAACUACUCGAAAGAGUGGCUAAUACCGCAUGAGAUCUACGGAUGAAAGCAGGGGAUCGCAAGACCUUGUGCUACUAGAGCGGCCGAUGGCAGAUUAGGUAGUUGGUGGGAUAAAAGCUUACCAAGCCGACGAUCUGUAGCUGGUCUGAGAGGACGAUCAGCCACACUGGGACUGAGACACGGCCCAGACUCCUACGGGAGGCAGCAGUGGGGAAUUUUGGACAAUGGGCGCAAGCCUGAUCCAGCAAUGCCGCGUGCAGGAUGAAGGCCUUCGGGUUGUAAACUGCUUUUGUACGGAACGAAAAGCCCUGGGUUAAUACCCUGGGGUCAUGACGGUACCGUAAGAAUAAGCACCGGCUAACUACGUGCCAGCAGCCGCAGUAAGAC